GAAAGGCCUGAGCUGCUGCCAGGCCAGAGAAGAGAGGGGAAAGCUUGACAUUGGGCAGGGAAGAGAAGAACUGACAGCAAAGCUGGUCAGAAGCAGAAGUAAGAUUCCAGGCAGAUGAAGCCAGCCCACUGGAGAGCCUGGGCUGGGUCUGUGUACUGCACCCCUGGAGUUUCAGAGAUGGCUCCAAUAAUCCUCCCCAGGAGCUGUUGAGGAAUCCAAGGGUGUGGCCUGGAGCAGGAGGGGAGGGAUGCAGCCCAAAUAGGCAGCCACUACACAGGAAAUGCCUUCCAGAGCCAUCCUGAAAGGUAAGUGUUUUCCUUUCUUUUUAAUAGAUUAUUAAAACAGAGUUCAAAAAAGACAUGGGCUGGGGUUGUAGCUCAGUGGUAGAGCAUUUGCCUAGCAUGUGUGGGGCACUGGGUUCCAUCCUCAGCACCACGUAAAAAUAAAUAAAAUAAAGGUAUUGUGUCCAUCUACAACUAAAAAAAGAAUUAAAAAAAAAAAAAAAACCUCACAUAACCAGGAGCCACCCAGAAAGGAAUUGGCAGAGCUGGGACAGACUCCCACAUCUCUUUCUCCAGGCAACACUGGUUCCAUGUGGACCCAGAGGGCAGGAUGUGGACAGGGGUUCUGGUGAAGAAGGACAACUUUUUUGAUAACCAGAACUCCCCACUAGCAGAAAGGCCUGCCUCAGGGUUAUGGGGGCGAGGUUGACCUAGUGCAAAAGUUGCCUAAUGGGGACAUCAGGAGGGACCCUUAAGAUAUCCCAGAGUCUAUGCCACAGGGAGCAGCGUGGGAACCUGCCAGGGUCCAGCUGUACCCGUGACAUGACCCCGGUGUGGAAAGAAAGAAACCUCAACUUCAGAAAAAGUGACAACAGUCACAGCCAGCACCUAUUCAUAGAGCAAUCACUCAGGCGACAUGUCAUCCUAAAUACCAUCCCCAAGACAACUGAAACAGAGUUCCACUGGCCACUGCCUAGGGAAACAGGGUCCUGCAGGCAAAGGGAAUCCAGCAUUCAAGAUAAGAGAGGGGUCUGGUGCAGAAACCAAGGGCUGAUUUAUGGGCUGUCUCCUGAGUCUAUAAGGAGUCCAAAGAGAGGUCAAUAAGACUUGGGGAACUCAGAGGAAGUUUCUAAAUAUAAUAAUUACAAUCUAAUUCGUAAUAGUGUUUACAAUCACCCUUUCUUGAGCUUUUACUAUGUGCCAGGCACUGUGCUAAAUGUUUAGUAUGCAUGAUGUGACUUAAUCCUCAGAGCAACCCUGUGAAGCAAGUCUUUUAUUAGUCCCUUUUGCCGAUGAGGAGGCAGGCUCAGACGGGUAACAAAUUGUCCAGAAUUGCUCAACUAGUGUGUGGCUGGGCCUGGAUUCAAGCCCAGAUCUGUCAGUCUCCAUAUCCUGUGUAUAACCAUGAGGAAUUAACACUGCUGCAAUAUCUGUAGUAAUAAGGAAAUAUCUCCAAGAUAUAGUAUAAUUUUUUAUUGUUGCUGUAACAGAUUAUUGCAAAUUUAACAAAUAUUUGUUGUGUAUGUUAUACUUUGGCAAGUCAAAAGUCUGACACAUGGGUCUCACUCACCUGAUGGUGUGGAUAGGGUUUGCCUUCCUUCUGAAAGCUCUAGGGGAAAAUCCAUUUUCUCCUUUUCCAGUUUCUAUGGGCUUACAAAUAUCUUGGCUGGUGGCCCCUUCCUCCAUUUACAAAGACAGCACUUUGUCUGGGUCAUGUCUCUCUGAUCCUUUGUCACAUCUCCUUCCAACCACAACCAGGAAAGAUUCUCCAAUUUUAAGGCUCCAAGGGGUUAGAUUGGGUUCAUAUAGAUAAUUCAGGACAAUCUCUCCAUAUCAAGUUCUUAUUUGGACAAGCAACCUCUAAAACUGUGAGGUAAGUAAACCUCUUUAUAAAGUUACUUUGCUCAGGUAUUUUACUAUGGAGACAAAAAUCUUACAAAUACAGUAUUUGCUCAUAUUUGCAAAAAGUAAAGUAUAUAAAAACCAAAUGAGAUCUUGGAUAUGGAAAUGGGAGUAUCAGUUAAUAGGGUUGACAGUCAGAACCUCAAAUUCUAAUCCUUCCAAGUUCCCAACAUUGUCCCUUAUCCAAGAGAGGAGUUGCUGAAGGAAGAAUGGGAGUUGGCUAAAAACAGGAAAGUUACUGCAGAUAAAGAGAAUGACAGGGUCAAAGUCAGAGAACAGGAAAUGAGCCCAGUGUCUUCAGAGAACAAAAUGCAAUGCAAACUACUAAAGGCAAUGUGGGAACUUGAAUUCUAGAGCAGAACAAGAAAAUUAGUGGAAAAACUUGUGCAAUAUGAAUGAAAUAUGAAGUCUAGCUAAGAGGAUGGUACCAAUGUCAAUUUCUUCGUUUUUUCCCUAUGUUUGAAAGUAUUUAUUAUUUGGUUACAGAAUUACAUACACAUAUUACAAAUCUUAUAAAAAUGCCAUGUAAAUAAAACAUAAAAUUAUAUGAAAAAUAAAAUAAAACUUGUUCAUUGUUCAAAACUUUUCAUUUCUUAGUUUUGGCCAAUAUGCCACAUUAACAUUGGGGGUGGGGGGGUGCUAUACUAUCUUUGUAGAUUUUAUGUAAACCUAAAAGGGUUCCAAAAUUAAAACUUUAGUUGGGGGGCAAGGGCACAGAGCAGACCAGCUGGAUCAAAUAAGGGGCCAGAAGUAGGGAACUCAGGUGACAGAUGUUUAGCAGAAGCUAAACAAGGGACUCCUGUGUCAUGAGCAGGAGUUCUGGCUUCAUUGUCUCCAAGCAAUGAUUCAUGGCAAUAAUUCACUAACUCUGUGAUAAAAGUUUCUUACCUUCAAGUUCAUCCUAACUAUAACUAUAUGUCAAUUAUGUAUAUCCUUCUGAACCCACACCCAAGUCCCAGCUUUUACACACACACCUACUGACCCACUAGGAGAAGCCUGAAUCCAACCCACCCCAGACAGAAUUGGGGAAGACAUGGCCUUAAGGAGAUUACAGUCUCUGGAGGAUCAGUCAAAUAUCCCAUGAGACACAAAGAAAUUGUCAGCAAAAUAGAUUUAGUGACUUCACUUGCCCUUGGGUGGAAUAUUCUCAGGGCUAGCUCAAACUGAGUGGUAUGGAAAUUGGGAGGCAGACAAAGGGCUUACUAAUCCCAAAGGCCCCCUCUGGCCUGUGGCUACAACUGCUCCAAGAUCAGUCCAAACUCAUGCCCUCAGAUCUCUGGACAUCUGCUGCCCUUCACUCCCCUAAUUGUUCCCUUACUAUUUACAGUCCACUGAUUGGUGUCUACCACAUCAUGCAUCCCCAGUUAGGAGAAGAGCAUCUCACGAGCAGGACCAGAGUCCAGUCUACCCCAGCACUUAGAACUUGUGCAGUAAAUGUGUGGUAAACAUAGCAUGUUGGGCAGAGAUGCCCAGAAGCCAGAGAGCUUGCUCUAUAAAGAGCAAAAAGCACUCCUCGGGCCAAAACUUCAGGACUCUGAGGCUUGGGCCCAUUUAACAUUUUAUAUUAACCAAGUUCACUACCCCUAUUCUGUGAGAUUCAGAUUAAAAAUUAGGUUUAUAAGCACCUUUCACUUUACAGAGCACUUCCAUAUUCAGGGACAAAGUUUUGAUUCUCUUGCGACAAUGACAUAGAAAUUCUAUUAAACCUGUUUUUAAUUUUUUAUUGGUGCAUAAUGAUUAUACAUAAUAGUGGGAUUUGUUGUGACACAUUCAUACAUGCAGGUGACAUAUAUUGAUCAGUUUCAUUCUUCCUCCCUUCCCUUGGCCUUCUUCCUUUGCCAUAUUAAUCUUCCUUCUACUUUCAAGACAAUCCUUUUUUUCUUUUUCCUCUCUAGUUUCUACAUAUGAGAAAAAAAAAUACAACCCUUAGCUUUCUUAGUCUGGCUUAUUUUGCCUAACAUGAUGCUUUCCAGUCCCAUCCAUUUUCCUGCAAAUGACAUAAUUGCAUUCUUCUUCAUAGCUGAAGAAAACUCCAUUGUGUAUAUAUGACACAUUUUCUUUAAGCCUAUUUUAUAUGAGGAAAUGGAGCUUGGACCUAUGACUGACUUCUAAUUUCAAGUCCAUAAUAUUUUCCUAUAACUUCUCUGUUCUCCUAUGAGGAAACACUACACACACACACACACACACACACACACACCUUCUUUUCCUCCUCCUGAAUCCAGAAGCUCAUCCAGAACAGAAGUCACCUCCCCAUGGGCUGCCAAUACCUACCACUGAGCACAAGGCAGGCCUGUCAGGGCACGCACACCCAUCCCCAUCCUAAUGGUGCAGAGAGAGCACUGAUAUCCCUCUCUUUGUAGCUGUGGAAAGGAAGGUUCAGAAGGGACAGACAGAUGCUAGCAGAGACCAAACCAAAUUCACAACCUACUAUCAGCCCCCUAAGACUUAGAGUGUCAGUUUGCUGGGAAGAACUUUAAGGAUGGCAAGACCCCUGGGAGGGCACCUGCAGCCCCUUCAAACCACAUUUACAACCAAAGGGCAAAAAUGGCAAAAGGAGCAGGUGCAGUGUUACAUUCCUGUAGUCUUAGCUAUUUGGGAAGCUGAGACAAGAGGAUUGCUAGAGCCCUCAAGAUCAGGGCCAGGCUGGACAACAUAACAGUACCCAGUCUUGUGGGGGUGGGGAGCAAGUACUGUCAAUAGUAAUACAUCCACUCAACCCAUGAAGAGGGAGUUUAGCACCCAGGCUCUGAGGCCAGACCACCUGGGUUCAAACCUGGCUCUGCUGCUUCCUAGUCAGUUCAUUAACUUCCUUAUGACUUAUUUUCUCCAUUCAUUAGAUAGAAAUGACAAGCCGUAAACCUCAUAGGGGUCUGCAUAUUAAAUGAGUUUUUAUAUGCACAGUUAGAAUCUCAUCUGGCACAUAAAGUGUGCCCAUCUAAGUGUUGGUCCUUGGGUUAUAUUUUUUUCAUCAAGCAUUUGGAAAGUACCUGCUAUAGGUACAAGAGGGGCUGAACUAGGGAAAUUUUUUUUAAAUACAUAUGAAACUACCACCCAGGACAAAACUUGUAAUGGGAGUCUAAAGGAUGGUUCAGAAACAAAUUGCUAUAGAAGCACACUGAGAAAGAGGAUUAGAGCAGACUGGCUGAGGAUGUUGGGGAAGGCAGGUGCUGAGCUGGCCUCAGAAAUGGGUAGGAUAAGAUGAGGAAGGGCCAGGAGGAGCUGGGCCUUAGGAAACGAGGCAGGCAACAGAGGUGUAGAUGUGGGAAUUCGUGUAGUAUCUCCAAAGAGUGGACAGAAUUAUAAAUAGAUGUUAAGAGGAGAGAGCAAAGGGUCUUUAUGGUGUCCUUAGAACAUUAGAUUCUCAUACAUUGGCUAUUUAUUGUGCACCUGCUGUGUCAGACACUGUUUCAAGCACACAGGGUACAUCAGAGAACAAAACAGUCAAAUCUUCUCAUGCUCAUGGCCUUUACAUUCUAGCUAGAAGAGGCAGAUAAAUAACAAUACAUAUUGGAAGAAAACUCCACUUUGUGAGAAGGUGCUAAGUGCUAUGGAAAAUCGUUUAGAAGCAGACCUGAGUAAGGGAAGUUGGGAAGUCUUUAAGAAGGAAAAAUGAGCAGAAAAGAGUCAAGCAAAGUUUCAGAAGCAUGAUGAAAAUGUGAUGUUAACUAUCUUUACAUUUAACAUCAGGAGAAGGGGCAAGGGUAGCUGCCACAGAAUGAAGUUUGAGGAAAGAUGUAUCUAAAAAGUAUUUUUAGAAUGGUAUUGCUGUCAUAUGAGAUGUAAUCCCUCAUCUACCCAUCCAUGAAACCUUGAUCAAAUUCACACUAUACAUAGGUAGGUUCCUUGUUGAGUACAUGUGUGCUUAAUGCAAUAAAAAGAAGUUAUAGGUGAAAACAGAGCAACCGAGUCUCCAGUGAGGUAUGCAGACUGGAAGGUAAAAGGCAGGGAGACAGGUUGGAAGGUAAGACAGUUGCCUGGGUCAAGAGUGAAUUCUGAGGUUGUGGCCCCUGGGAAGUGGCAAAAAGGGAAGAUGAGAACCAAUGCCAGGUGGAAGAUCUGAGGUCUGACCUUGGACACUAAAUCACUAUUUUCUGUUUUAGGUCUGGUUCCUUAUCUUUUAAUAGGACAGCAACUGCAGCACUUCCUUGCAACACCAUGAGAAGUACUAGGAAAGAAGAAUCACAUUUGCUCAGCAGUGCAAGGCUAGGGGAAGGAGGAGGAAGAGGCCCAGGUGAUGUGGGGUUUGGAUGCUGACUGAUGGGAGGACAGGAGGCCAAAGAGAGAGGAAAGUCAGUUUUAGGUUUAGGAAGCCCUCGGGGAUUAGGACCUCUGGUCCUGAUGUUUAUUUUAACUGUGUUCAUUUCCUACUGCUUCUGUAACAAAUUAUCAAAAAAAUUAGUGGCUUAAAAUAAUACAUAUUUAAUUAUUUUACAGUUCCAGUCAGAAACCUAAAAUAAGUUAGCAGAGCUGCAUUUGCUCCUCCUGGCAGCUCUAGAGAGAACUCAUUUCUUCAUCUGUUCCUGCUUCCAGAGGCUGUCCAUGGUCCUUGGCAUGUGGCCAUGCAUCAUUCCAACCUCUGCUUCUGUCCUCAUACCUCAUUCUCAAGUUCAGAUCUUCCUACCUUUCUCCUAUGGAACCUUUUUAAUUAUCCUGGACUCACCAAGAAAGUCCAAGAUAAACUCCCCAUUUUAAAAUCCUUUCACUUAAUCACAUCUGCAAAGUCCCUUAUACCAUGUAAAUAAAGUGGCGCAUUCCUGGGUGUCAGACACUAGGAUGGGGCAUAUUUGAAGAGCUAUUGAAUGAGUAUCGUGACUUGAAUUUAUGCAGAGGUGAGCCAAACAAAGGAAAUGAUACGAGAAGAUAGGUGCUCAAUGGAGGAGCUAAGAGAAAAGCAGAGGUCCAAGGACAAAAGCCUGAGGAACAUGUUCUCCCUUGCAGUCAUUCCACAAAUGUAUACAGAGGGCUCACUGGGCCAGCAAAGGACCAGGAGCUUGAGAGAACACAAAUUCAUCAAAGCAAGUAUACUUUGGAGGAGCUCACCACCAAAAUGUGCACACAUACUAGAAGAUGAAGACAGCCAAUGAGUCACACAGGAGAGAGUCAAACAAGGUAAUUCAUGGAGGAAAAGACAGGAGUGAUGGUGGAGGGCUUUGUGAGGUGAUAGAGAAACAAGAAGGCUCACUGGGAGAGAGAAAAAGAGAUACUUGCUGGAUGGAGACCGGGAUCUAUCAGCAUGACCAGCCAUGCUUGUCUCUUUAGCUAGAUGAACAAAAUCAGAUCAGAUACUUGUACUAGAUCCACUAGAACAGAAACAUAAUAAAUUUAAAUGUCACCAAAUUCAAAGACUUCCACAUUGUGCCCACAACUGGAAUAUAACUAGACUGUUCAACCAGGAAGAAGCAUUCUGAACCCCGAAUAUCAAAUGAUUAACAUAGAAUUUGAUUUUCACAAAAGCUUGUCUGGGAAGCUGUAUUAUUCUUCCCAGCAAAAUUAUAUACAAAGUCAGAGAGCUCAACUCUUGGUGUGUCAUUCCUCUUCUCUGAGAGAUGUGGGGUGUGUACACCCCGCCUUUUGGGUGUACAUUUGCUUUGCUGUGCUUUAGUAAAU
rnacentral:lncRNA from 1 species